rnacentral:rRNA from 1 species
UGGUGGAGUGAUUUGUCUGGUUAAUUCCGAUAACGAACGAGACUCUGUCCUGCUAAAUAGUUGUGUCAGCAUUUUUCUGACUCAAAUUCUUCUUAGAGGGACUGGCGGCGUCUAGCCGCACGAGAUUGAGCGAUAACA